rnacentral:rRNA from 1 species
AAUUUUGGACAAUGGGGGAAACCCUGAUCCAGCCAUCCCGCGUGUAUGAUGAAGGCCUUCGGGUUGUAAAGUAAUUUUGGUAGAGAAGAAAAGGUAUCCCCUAAUACGGGACACUGCUGACGAUAUCUGCAGAAUAAGCACUGGCUAACUACGUGACAUAAGCCGCGGUAAUAUGUGGGUGCAAGCGUUAAUCGGAAUUACUGGGCGUAAAGCGUGUGUAGGCGGUUCGGAAAUAAAGAUGGGAAAGCCCAGGGCUCAACCUUGGAACUGCAUUUUUAACUGCCGAGCUAGAGUAUGUCAGAGGGGGGUAGAAUUCCACGUGUAGCAGUGAAAUGCGUAGAUAUGUGGAGGAAUACCGAUGGCGAAGGCAGCCCCCUGGGAUAAUACUGACGCUCAGACACGAAAGCGUGGGGAGCAAACAGG